rnacentral:rRNA from 1 species
GAGGUUGAACGGCCACAUUGGGACUGAGACACGGCCCAGACUCCUACGGGAGGCAGCAGUGGGGAAUAUUGCACAAUGGGGGAAACCCUGAUGCAGCGACGCCGCGUGGAGGAAGAAGGUCUUCGGAUUGUAAACUCCUGUUGUUGAGGAAGAUAAUGACGGUACUCAACAAGGAAGUGACGGCUAACUACGUGCCAGCAGCCGCGGUAAAACGUAGGUCACAAGCGUUGUCCGGAAUUACUGGGUGUAAAGGGAGCGCAGGCGGGAGAACAAGUUGGAAGUGAAAUCCAUGGGCUCAACCCAUGAACUGCUUUCAAAACUGUUUUUCUUGAGUAGUGCAGAGGUAGGCGGAAUUCCCGGUGUAGCGGUGGAAUGCGUAGAUAUCGGGAGGAACACCAGUGGCGAAGGCGGCCUACUGGGCACCAACUGACGCUGAGGCUCGAAAGUGUGGGUAGCAAACAGGAUUAGAUACCCUGGUAGUCCACACCGUAAACGAUGAUUACUAGGUGUUGGAGGAUUGACCCCUUCAGUGCCGCAGUUAACACAAUAAGUAAUCCACCUGGGGAGUACGACCGCAAGGUUGAAACUCAAAGGAAUUGACGGGGGCCCGCACAAGCAGUGGAGUAUGUGGUUUAAUUCGACGCAACGCGAAGAACCUUACCAAGUCUUGACAUCCCUUGACGAUGCUGGAAACAGUAUUUCUCUUCGAAGCAAGGAGACAGGUGGUGCAUGGUUGUCGUCAGCUCGUGUCGUGAGAUGUUGGGUUAAGUCCCGCAACGAGCGCAACCCUUAUGGUCAGUUACUACGCAAGAGGACUCUGGCCAGACUGCCGUUGACAAAACGGAGGAAGGUGGGGAUGACGUCAAAUCAUCAUGCCCUUUAUGACUUGGGCUACACACGUACUACAAUGGCGUUAAACAAAGAGAAGCAAGACCGCGAGGUGGAGCAAAACUCAGAAACAACGUCCCAGUUCGGACUGCAGGCUGCAACUCGCCUGCACGAAGUCGGAAUUGCUAGUAAUCGUGGAUCAGCAUGCCACGGUGAAUACGUUCCCGGGCCUUGUACACACCGCCCGUCACACCAUGAGAGCCGGGGGGACCCGAAGUCGGUAGUCUAACCGUAAGGAGGACGCCGCCGAAGGUAAAACUGGUGAUUGGGGUGAAGUCGUAACAAGGUAGCCGUAGGAGGACCUGCGGCUG